CUGUUGUGACGAUGUGUUUCAAAGUGGAGACGUGUGCAAAUGGUAAAUAUUUAUGUUAAUACAUCAACCACUCCCACGAUUGUCAUGUUUAGUACUGUACCAGGCCCAUGAUAUUUUCUGUUAAAACAUGAACAAAGACGGUAGCUUUGAGGAUGAGUUUCCUGUUAAGCAUAUUAAAGAGACUGGAAGAGCGCUGCGUCAAAAUCCCAAUAUCGAGUUAUGGUAUCAAAGUAAAAUAAUAUUAUCAUGCAAAUUCAUAAAGGUCACUUAGGAAAAUGGCUACCGAUAAUAUACAUGAAUAAUGAACACUCUCAAGUACCGCGCAAGUCUACGAAACUUUCUCGAGCUUCUUCUUCUUCAUACCUUCAGUAGAACAACUGGUUAUCUAUGUGUCAACUAGGCUGUACCACCACAGCUGAAAAAUAUACUGUAACCUCCGUAUUACAGACUACCCAGGAAAGUUUCAGGUAUUUUCACACACAUGUAUACACUCCUGAAGGAAGAUGCCUGCGCUGGUGGUGUUUCAACAACGAUGGAGGAUUGGGAGUGAUGAUUUUGUUAUCCCAGGAAUCAUAGAAGUAUUGGUCCGUGCAGGAUGGCUUGGAUUGGUGCUUGCCCUCUUCAUCCACCAUGAAAGUGAUACCAGCCGAUGCUCCCAUGGGAGUGAUCUUUUACGACUCUUCUUGGUGGGUGCCAUGGUGCUGCUGGGUGUCACGCUGAUUGUUACAAUUAUAUUGGUCAUAUUCAGCAGCCGGGGUACUAUAAUGAACACAGAACCAAGAAAACGUGUAGCAGACCUGUUGGUCAUCAGGUAUAGUAUAUUUCAUGC